UACGUAGGGUGCAAGCGUUGUCCGGAUUUAUUGGGCGUAAAGAGCUCGUAGGCGGUCUGUCGCGUCGGAUGUGAAAACCCAGGGCUCAACCCUGGGCCUGCAUUCGAUACGGGCAGACUAGAGUACGGCAGGGGAGACUGGAAUUCCUGGUGUAGCGGUGAAAUGCGCAGAUAUCAGGAGGAACACCGGUGGCGAAGGCGGGUCUCUGGGCCGUAACUGACGCUGAGGAGCGAGAGCGUGGGGAGCGAACCGG
rnacentral:rRNA from 1 species